CAGCAAAGAAACAAGUGUCUAAGGGGCUGGCAUCUGCUGCUGGGAUACUGUGGCACAGUGUGGCAGGAGAGGUCAAAACUACCACCAAAAAUGGUAAGGCACCAGUGACUGCACCACCACACCCAGCUGUGUGCUGUGCUCCCCUCUGCAGCCCAGAGCCAAGAAGUCGUGGCACAGCCUUUCUUCCAUCUCAACCUUCGCUCCUGCAAAGCCUUCCCUCUGCAAGCAGCACUCUGGUGAUAGUAACACCACUGUGUCAUCCACCCUCCAUUCCAUCCAGCGCUGGAAAUGCUGUUUCCCACCUGGGGCACUGCUUUGGGCGUGCAUAGCCCCACGACUUAAUGAAAUCUCCCUCAGCUGCAGAAAUGAAACUCCUGACCUCGUUACCCUGUGCUGACCCACCUACGAUUGCACCACAAGGCUUCGUAUGAAAUCCUCAAAUUUGCCUUAAUGCACUGUCACAGCCGUUUUUC
rnacentral:lncRNA from 1 species